rnacentral:rRNA from 1 species
UACAGAGGUCUCAAGCGUUGUUCGGAUUCAUUGGGCGUAAAGGGUGCGUAGGUGGCGCGGUAAGUCGGGUGUGAAAUCUCGGAGCUUAACUCCGAAAUUGCAUUCGAUACUGCCGUGCUCGAGGACUGGAGAGGAGACUGGAAUUCAUGGUGUAGCAGUGAAAUGCGUAGAGAUCAUGAGGAAGACCAGUGGCGAAGGCGGGUCUCUGGACAGUUCCUGACGCUCAUGCACGAAGGCCAGGGGAGCAAACGGG